UGAAAUGGACGAUAUUCCUAUUACUGUUAACAUUAUAAUUAACACUUUAAUGAAUUAUUUACACAAAACAAAUGUUAAGGAAAGUUUGCUUUUUACCUGACGCUGAUCUUAGAUUCCGCCAUCUUCACUCCUGCCAUACGAUUGGUUGAUAUAUAAUUCCGUCACUUCCGUAAUCUUGGCCACUUCCGGUAGAGGUUUUUUUUUAAUCUUUCAAAUCUUUAUUCAAAAUAUAGAAAUGUUACACAGCAAGGGGCAUAAAACAAUAAACUGUACAUUGAUUCUUUUCAAAAUAAACGCCAAUGAAAUAUUAAAAUGGAAAAAAAAGAAAAACAGAAAAUAAAAGUCAAUAUUUGAUCAUCUAUAAAGCUGAGAAAGAUGGUAGGCUUUGAUAUGUUGUAUAAAUAGAGAAAGAGUGCAAAUGAUUGGUGAUUUGGGAAAAUAACUCAAAGAAAUAUUAAGUUGUAUUUUUUUUAAGAUAACAUUAGUUUAUUUAUCUAAUGUUUGUUAAUAAGAUCAGAAAAUUAAUCAAAGGAAGGCUUAAGAUGCGUAACAGGCAUUUUAAGAUAAAUGUUGCCACAAGUGGGUCAAGUAGGAUUAUCAGAUAAAAUAUCAGCAGAUAAUUUUAACUGAAAACACUCAAUAAUAAACAUUUUCUUGUAUGACUUUUUUUUUAAAAGCUCUUUUAUUCAGAAAUGUGUAUUUUGUUUGUAGUCGACCUAUGUUUAAAUAAUAAACUAAAAUUUUAUUUUGAAAAAAGUAAGCAGCUGGACUCCUUUGGUAUUUGGCUGAAACGAAGAAUUAAAUAAGGAGGCCAAAUUUGUGCUCAAUUAAUAUUACAAAUCCAUACCAAAUUAACAACAAAGAAUAGUUAUGUUAAUAGUGUGGCUGUAGUUAUUUAUUUAUUAUUAAAUGGCUGUAAAGGAUAUGGGUAAGAGCGCGUCACGUGACCCGGCUGUCAAAGAUGGCUCCUUCCUACAGGGCGUGAGAAGAGGAACAGCUGACAAAAGGAGUAUAUAUAUUCAAAGGAAACGGCAGCUGUUUGUGGCUGAAAACCUUCUUGUAGAUAAAACUCCAGGGAAUCAGACUUAAAGGAAGCUGACGGAUGAUGAAGACUGUCAUAGGGCGGGACUGACAGUAAAGACUCUUCUUCACUCCAGACCGUCUGUUCACAUCUUCUGCGUCCUUCG
rnacentral:lncRNA from 1 species